AUGUUUUUGUCGCAGUCCUUGAGCCGCGUCAACAAUAUCCGCACGGCCCUCAUCAAUGCCCAGAAAGGUAAUCAAUCAAUCGCCACCUACUUCGCCUCUAUGCGUGGCCUCGCCGAUGAACUCGCCUCGGCCGGCAAAGUCAUCCAGGAUGACGAGCUGAUCUCCUACAUCAUCCAUGGGCUGGACAUGGACUACCAACCUCUUGUCUCGGCCCUCGACGCCCGCGUCACGCCCGUCUCCCUCGACGAACUCUUUGCCAUGCUCAACAACUUCGAUCAGCGUGUGGCCCAGUUCCAGAACUCCGGUGGUGGCUUCAAGUCGUCUGCAAACGCGGCCACGCGUGGACGUGGUGGCUACUCCUCGCGCCACCGCAGUCCUCCUCAUCCCAAGGGCAAGCACGCCGGUCCCGGCAACUCCACCAACUCAAGCCCUCGCUCCGGGCGCCCCAACUCCACCAACACCAGGGGGCACCGUGGUGGCUAUGGCAAGUCCCGCCCCGAUGCUGUCCGUUGUCAGAUCUGCGGCAAGCCUGGCCACACGGCCAAGGACUGCUGGUACAGAUUUGAUGAGGACGAUGCAUCUUCUGAAGACGAUGAUGUUGGAAAUAUGCCCUAG
rnacentral:rRNA from 1 species